CUGUUCUAAGACUAGCCAUGCACGUCUAAGUACAAACUAAAUGAUGGUGAAACUGCAAAUGGCUCAUUACAACGGUUAUGAUGUACCCGGGAGUUCCGAUGGAUAUUUCCAGUAACACUAGAACUAAUACAUGUCCCUGCGUUUAUUAGUUUCGCACAGUCCGUCGCUGAGUCAUGGUAAACAGUUGAUCGACUCGACGUCCCGGAACAGUUUCCGCCCCAUCAGCUUCGAUGGUUGGGUAUUGGCCUACCAUUGCAACAACGGGUAACGAGGAAUUAGGGUUUGAUUUCGGAGAGGGAGCCUGAGAAACGGCUACCACAUCUACGGAUGGCAGCAGGCGCGCAAAUUACCCAAUGCAGACACUGUGAGGUAGUGACGAGAAAUAAUAAAGCGGGACUUCUGUUUCGCUAUUAUAAUGAGGAAUAACCAAAGGUCAUUCCGAUUAGCAACUGAUGGGAAAGUCUGGUGCCAGCAGCCGCGGUAAUACCAGCGUCAGUAGC
rnacentral:rRNA from 1 species